AAAAAAGGUAAGCUACUAAGAGCGAAUGGUGGAUGCCUUGACUGGUAAAGGCGAUGAAGGACGUACUAGACUGCGAUAAGCUACGGGGAGCUGUCAAGAAGCUUUGAUCCGUAGAUUUCCGAAUGGGGCAACCCAAUGUAUAGAGAUAUACAUUACCUAUAUAGGAGCGAACGAGGGGAAUUGAAACAUCUUAGUACCCUCAGGAAAAGAAAUCAAUAGAGAUUGCGUCAGUAGCGGCGAGCGAAAGCGCAAGAGGGCAAACCCAGUGCUUGCACUGGGGGUUGUAGGACUGCAAUGUGCAAGAGGUAAGUUUAGCAGAACAUUCUGGAAAGUAUAACCAUAGAGGGUGAUAGUCCCGUAUGCGAAAAACAAACCUUAGCUAGCAGUAUCCUGAGUAGGGCGGGACACGAGGAAUCCUGUCUGAAUCUGGGUCGACCACGAUCCAACCCUAAAUACUAAUACCAGAUCGAUAGUGCACAAGUACCGUGAGGGAAAGGUGAAAAGAACUGAGGUGAUCAGAGUGAAAUAGAACCUGAAACCAUUUGCUUACAAUCAUUCAGAGCCCUAUGUAGCAAUACAGGGUGAUGGACUGCCUUUUGCAUAAUGAGCCUGCGAGUUGUGGUGUCUGGCAAGGUUAAGCAAACGCGAAGCCGUAGCGAAAGCGAGUCUGAAUAGGGCGCUUAGUCAGAUGCUGCAGACCCGAAACGAAGUGAUCUAUCCAUGAGCAAGUUGAAGCUAGUGUAAGAACUAGUGGAGGACUGAACCCAUAGGCGUUGAAAAGCCCCGGGAUGACUUGUGGAUAGGGGUGAAAGGCCAAUCAAACUUCGUGAUAGCUGGUUCUCUCCGAAAUAUAUUUAGGUAUAGCGUUGUGUCGUAAUAUAAGGGGGUAGAGCACUGAAUGGGCUAGGGCAUACACCAAUGUACCAAACCCUAUCAAACUCCGAAUACCUUAUAUGUAAUCACAGCAGUCAGGCGGCGAGUGAUAAAAUCCGUCGUCAAGAGGGAAACAACCCAGACUACCAGCUAAGGUCCCUAAAUCUUACUUAAGUGGAAAACGAUGUGAAGUUACUUAAACAACCAGGAGGUUGGCUUAGAAGCAGCCAUCCUUUAAAGAAAGCGUAAUAGCUCACUGGUCUAGUGAUUUUGCGCGGAAAAUAUAACGGGGCUAAAGUAAGUACCGAAGCUGUAGACUUGCACACAACUUAGAUUAUUUAAGUUUAGAAUAUGAGAAACUAAGUUAUAUGUUUAGUUAUAUUUUUACUGAUUUUUAUAGAGUAAAGAUAGAAAUAAAACUUAGUAAAAUCAGUAAAAAUAUUCUUAGACUAAAGUUAAGUAGUUUAAGUUGUGUGCAAGUGGUAGGAGAGCGUUCUAUUUGCGUCGAAGGUAUACCGGUAAGGAGUGCUGGAGCGAAUAGAAGUGAGCAUGCAGGCAUGAGUAGCGAUAAUUAAUGUGAGAAUCAUUAACGCCGUAAACCCAAGGUUUCCUACGCGAUGCUCGUCAUCGUAGGGUUAGUCGGGUCCUAAGUCGAGUCCGAAAGGGGUAGACGAUGGCAAAUUGGUUAAUAUUCCAAUACCAACAUUAGUGUGCGAUGGAAGGACGCUUAGGGCUAAGGGGGCUAGCGGAUGGAAGUGCUAGUCUAAGGUCGUAGGAGGUUAUACAGGCAAAUCCGUAUAACAAUACUCCGAGAACUGAAAGGCUUUUUGAAGUCUUCGGAUGGAUAGAAGAACCCCUGAUGCCGUCGAGCCAAGAAAAGUUUCUAAGUUUAGCUAAUGUUGCCCGUACCGUAAACCGACACAGGUGGGUGGGAUGAGUAUUCUAAGGCGCGUGGAAGAACUCUCUUUAAGGAACUCUGCAAAAUAGCACCGUAUCUUCGGUAUAAGGUGUGGUUCGCCUUGUAUUAGGAUUUACUCCGAAAGCAAGGAAACUUACAACAAAGAGUCCCUCCCGACUGUUUACCAAAAACACAGCACUCUGCUAACUCGUAAGAGGAUGUAUAGGGUGUGACGCCUGCCCGGUGCUCGAAGGUUAAUUGAUGGGGUUAGCAUUAGCGAAGCUCUUGAUCGAAGCCCGAGUAAACGGCGGCCGUAACUAUAACGGUCCUAAGGUAGCGAAAUUCCUUGUCGGUUAAAUACCGACCUGCAUGAAUGGCGUAACGAGAUGGGAGCUGUCUCAAAGAGGGAUCCAGUGAAAUUGUAGUGGAGGUGAAAAUUCCUCCUACCCGCGGCAAGACGGAAAGACCCCGUGGACCUUUACUACAGCUUGACACUGCUACUUGGAUAAGAAUGUGCAGGAUAGGUGGGAGGCUUUGAGUAUAUGACGCCAGUUGUAUAUGAGCCAUUGUUGAGAUACCACUCUUUCUUAUUUGGGUAGCUAACCAGCUUGAGUUAUCCUCAAGUGGGACAAUGUCUGGUGGGUAGUUUGACUGGGGCGGUCGCCUCCCAAAUAAUAACGGAGGCUUACAAAGGUUGGCUCAGAACGGUUGGAAAUCGUUCGUAGAGUAUAAAGGUAUAAGCCAGCUUAACUGCAAGACAUACAAGUCAAGCAGAGACGAAAGUCGGUCUUAGUGAUCCGGUGGUUCUGUGUGGAAGGGCCAUCGCUCAAAGGAUAAAAGGUACCCCGGGGAUAACAGGCUGAUCUCCCCCAAGAGCUCACAUCGACGGGGAGGUUUGGCACCUCGAUGUCGGCUCAUCGCAUCCUGGGGCUGGAGCAGGUCCCAAGGGUAUGGCUGUUCGCCAUUUAAAGCGGUACGCGAGCUGGGUUCAGAACGUCGUGAGACAGUUCGGUCCCUAUCUGCCGUGGGCGUAAGAAGAUUGAAGAGAUUUGACCCUAGUACGAGAGGACCGGGUUGAACAAACCACUGGUGUAGCUGUUGUUCUGCCAAGAGCAUCGCAGCGUAGCUAAGUUUGGAAAGGAUAAACGCUGAAAGCAUCUAAGCGUGAAGCCAACUCUAAGAUGAAUCUUCUCUAAGCUCUCUAGAAGACUACUAGUUUGAUAGGCUGGGUGUGUAAUGGAUGAAAGUCCUUUAGCUGACCAGUACUAAUAGAGCGUUUGGCUUAUCUUUAAUAAAGCAU
rnacentral:rRNA from 1 species